AAUUCUCAAAAACCUAACCGUUUGUUUUCGAACGGGCUAGGCUUUUUGGAUGUGAGGGGUCUAUGCCGGCUUGUUUAUUGAGUCUGGCUCCCUUUAAAUGCAUUAGUGGUUGCUUCAUUCACUAGAGUGUGAUAGCAUAUCUACGCUCGCUACAGUGGACUGAUAAAUCAUCCGCUUCUAACUGUCUUGCUUCGUCGAGACAACUCUUUUGAACC
rnacentral:misc_RNA from 1 species